rnacentral:rRNA from 1 species
AACGAACGCUGGCGGCAGGCCUAACACAUGCAAGUCGAGCGAGACCUUCGGGUCUAGCGGCGGACGGGUGAGUAACGCGUGGGAACGUGCCCUUUUCUACGGAAUAGCCUCGGGAAACUGAGCUUAAUACCGUAUACGCCCUUUGGGGGAAAGAUUUAUCGGAGAAGGAUCGGCCCGCGUUGGAUUAGGUAGUUGGUGGGGUAAUGGCCUACCAAGCCUACGAUCCAUAGCUGGUUUGAGAGGAUGAUCAGCCACACUGGGACUGAGACACGGCCCAGACUCCUACGGGAGGCAGCAGUGGGGAAUCUUAGACAAUGGGGGCAACACUGAUCUAGCCAUGCCGCGUGAGUGAUGAAGGCCUUAGGGUUGUAAAGCUCUUUCAGCUGGGAAGAUAAUGACGGUACCAGCAGAAGAAGCCCCGGCUAACUCCGUG